UAGCCCAAUAUAUAUAAAACCAAGAGGUGACAGUACAUUCUCAAAAAUACCAUCUCCCUCUUUUCUUUCUUUAAACGCCAGUAUACUUUGCCUCUUUUCUCUCUGCAGAAUUUCUUCAAAGCUCUAACUUGUGAUGAUUGAAUAUAUAAGUUAUCUUUUUGAGUGCUCAAAUUUAGGUUGUGAUAUCCAUAAAAGAUUGCAUAAGACUAGUAGAAGAACUCAAAUCAAAACAAUUCAAGGACCAUAGGAACUAAUUCUAGGUCAAACUCACAUGUUGACAAGAACUUUCGGUUCACGUAUGGAGUUCACAAUGUUGCAAAGUCGGUACUUGACGAAGACCUUGAAAAGCAGUUUCAAAACAUUAACAUGCAUAUUGAGGAGGCAUGGUAAAACUCGGCCUUUUCCACCAUUCCAUGCCGAAAAAGCUUUUUAUUUAUUUUUUUCGUAUUUAUUGUGAUCUAAACCCGAAAAUAACGGGGUGGAGUCGUAUAAAUUUAUCCUGGUACCGUUAAAGUUGAAAUAUAGGCACUCCUUUUUUAAUAACCCAACUCAUCAAACCCAUUUCGAUUUUGAAAUGAAAAAAGAAAAACGAUUACAUUUAUCCUUGUUAAUUCUGUAAUUAAUCUUCUUGUUUAGUCCUAGGAUCACUUUUAACACGAAAAGAGGCAGAUGAAGCUGGGCCAAACAACUUUUUAGGCUCAUUAGAUAUUUCUUUUGCAAAAUCGUUGCCAAAUUUAAUCUGGAUUUGUUCCUCCUACUGGGGGGUUAGGUUCACCUUAGACAAUUUAUAUUUUUAGCCCUAAAAAUGAAAAAUUCUGAAUUUUUCCCCCCUUAAAAAAAAUUAAUUUGCCACCCCUUAAAAAAAAAAAAAAAAUUCCUAGCUCCGCCA